rnacentral:rRNA from 1 species
UACGAAGGGGGCUAGCGUUGCUCGGAAUCACUGGGCGUAAAGCGCACGUAGGCGGAUUGUUAAGUCAGGGGUGAAAUCCUGGAGCUCAACUCCAGAACUGCCUUUGAUACUGGCGAUCUUGAGUCCGGGAGAGGUGAGUGGAACUGCGAGUGUGGAGGUGAAAUUCGUAGAUAUUCGCAAGAACACCAGUGGCGAAGGCGGCUCUCUGGGACGGUACUGACGCUGAGACGCGAAAGCGUGGGGAGCGAACAGG